GGUAAGACUCCAGUGUGUAUUCAGCUAUUGUGCACUUCUCGGCUGACUAAACAGUGGUGGAAUUUAGUCAGGGUUGCACGUGCAGGUACAACUCGUCGACGUCAAGGAGAAUGAUGCCUUAGACCAGUCUGAGAAGCCAUCGCCGUCCUCGGGUGCUGCCGCCAACGGAUACGGGUGCUUGGUGACUGAAGAGGAUGUUAGAGUUUUUCAUGUCAUCGACAACUCUGCGUCACUAGUAGAUUGGGGUGUUCGGCUGCCACCCUUGUCUCCGCCGUGGCCAUCCUCCUCUUCAUCUGUUCCACAACGUCCAUGGCUUAAACAAGGUACAGCUCAUGGACGCCAAGGAGAAUGAUGCCUUAGACUAGUCUGAGAAGCCAUCGCUGCCCUUGGAUGUUCCCGCCGACAAAGACGGGCACAUGGUG